AGCUAUCUUGCCUCUAAUGAUCAAAGGAAAUGAAGCAACCUACCAACUAUCAUUAGCAAUGAAUAGAACACAAAAAACCAAAGAGGAAGGUUUGGUCGAGCGAUUGUGAUGUUUGGUAUUAUUUCUAUUAUUUCAAAGGAAUUAAAAACCAGUAGCAUUAUAGCAAAGUUUGGAAGAUCUAUCAAUGUCAGAACCGUCUUCCAACCAAGCUCGUGUUAUGUAUCAAACCAUUUGAAGUGGUAAGAGAGC
rnacentral:lncRNA from 1 species